rnacentral:rRNA from 1 species
AGAUUGAACGCUGGCGGCAUGCCUUACACAUGCAAGUCGAACGGCAGCACGGGGCAACCUGGUGGCGAGUGGCGAACGGUGAGUAAUGCAUCGGAACGUGCCAUUGAGUGGGGAUAACGUAGCGAAAGUUGCGCUAAUACCGCAUAUUCUGUGAGCAGGAAAGCAGGGGACCGCAAGGCCUUGCGCUCUUUGAGCGGCCGAUGUCAGAUUAGCUAGUUGGUGAGGUAACGGCUUACCAAGGCGACGAUCUGUAGCGGGUCUGAGAGGAUGAUCCGCCACACUGGAACUGAGACACGGUCCAGACUCCUACGGGAGGCAGCAGUGGGGAAUUUUGGACAAUGGGCGCAAGCCUGAUCCAGCCAUGCCGCGUGAGUGAAGAAGGCCUUCGGGUUGUAAAGCUCUUUCGGCCGGGAAGAAAUCGCAUGGGUUAAUACCCUGUGUGGAUGACGGUACCGGAAUAAGAAGCACCGGCUAACUACGUG